UGAUCCCUGGCUUCCCUCAGUGGAUUAAGGAUCUGCUGUUGUUGUCGUGAGCUGUGUUGUAGGUCACAGACAUGGCUCAGAUCCCAUGUUGCCGUGGCUGUGGCAUAGGCCAGCAGCUGCAGCUCCAUUCGAGCCCUAGCCUGGGAACUUCCAUAUGCCACAUGUGCUGCCUUAAAAAGCAGAACAAACAAACAAACAAAAAAAAAAAAAAAGAAGAAGAAGAAGAAGACUAGUUCAUUACAUAGUAAAUAACUGGGGAAUUGAAAAUGAUAAUAUAAUGCUAUAAUGACAUAACUAUCUACCAAUUAAUGAGUGAUUGCUAUUGCCAGGCACUAUGGAAGAAAAUUUCUAUACAUUAUUGUAUCUAUUCUUCACAAUAGAUUUCAGAGUCUUUAUUAUUUAUUUCCAUUUUACCAAUGAGGAAACUCAGAUUCUGUCAUAGGCAUGGAGACAAUGGAAAGGGAGGGAGCGGCUUGCAGUCUGAAUCCAGGAGGCAGUCUUCCUCUUUACUCCCAAUCUGGUAUCAGAAUGGACCUUUUUGAUGUCACUGUUAUUCCAGAAAGAAUCUCUGGCAUGCUCCCCACCAGCUAACGUCAGAAAGAAAAGGGGGCCCUUGCAAAAAUCACUCCAGCAAAAAAAAGUUAGAGACCAAGACAUGACUGCAAGCACAAAGGUGGACAUAUGCCCAAGACUUGCCAAUCAUUUUAUCCCCUGAACCUAGACAUUAUGGUCAUCUGGUCAUAAAAUGUGUUCAAAGAUAAAUGCCUCCAUUGCCUUCCAAUAAAUCCCUCUUCUACCUAUUUUAUUAAUUUAUU
rnacentral:lncRNA from 1 species